rnacentral:rRNA from 1 species
UACGGAGGGGGCUAGCGUUGUUCGGAAUUACUGGGCGUAAAGCGCACGUAGGCGGCUUUGUAAGUUAGAGGUGAAAGCCCGGGGCUCAACUCCGGAAUUGCCUUUAAGACUGCAUCGCUAGAAUUGUGGAGAGGUAAGUGGAAUUCCGAGUGUAGAGGUGAAAUUCGUAGAUAUUCGGAAGACCACCAGUGGCGAAGGCGGCUUGCCAGAACGCGCUCGACGGUGAGGGAUGAAAGCUGGGGGAGCAAACCGG